rnacentral:lncRNA from 1 species
CCCUAGCGCCUCUUACGGUCCCCACAAAGUAUUAUAUACUUAGUGAGUAUUGAGCUUUGUGAUUUUUUGUGUUUCGCAUCAGCUCGGUAAUUAACUCUUUGUUAUUCUUGCAGAUAUUCUUCCUCGGUGCGAGCUCUCUGUCGAGGAGUUUGACAUAAUCUGUAUCGUUUAUCGGCUUCUGCUGAAGAGGAAGUCUUAUAACGAGCUUAUCAGGAAGAACAUUCACUUUGUUACGUACGAGUUGAUGGCCUCCCAAGGUAACUAUCUGGAGUGUACCUAUUGUAAUGUGUUUUCGAACUCAUUGUACUUGUGUUAAUCCCUUUUGUUUUGCUGUAGACGAUUUCAACAAGAAGAGACUGGUGAGGCCCGACUUCAAAACUAUCCAACAGAUGAUAGCCGAGGCAAGGGCCAUGAAGACCUCCUCCUUUGCUUAUAAAAAGCAAAUGGAAGACCUAGUGCUGCGAAUAAACCACUCCAGCCCGCAGCAGAGGAGGAGCCAGAGGCAGCUCUCCAAAGGAAGGGGAAAAAGGCUGCCAGCUUGUCGGAGCGGCCUACAGUGGCAAGAGCUGCCCCGGUCCUCCGCCAGACAACCAUCCCUACAGGUGUGGCCAUAAGGGAGAGGCCGACGGCUCCUGCUGCCCGGUCGGUCCCCCUAUCACUGUCAUUCCAAUCGCACAAGUGUCGGGACAGCAAAGGAGAAAAAGGGCUAGUCCGGAAAAGAAAGUGGACUUUCUGGGCACCAAUAAAGAGGAACCAGUGAGGGAGGUGUUGGAAGCCUUGCCUCCGAAGACGACGACUGUAGCCCUGGUCCACAGCAAGUAUUGAACCGAGAAAUGGAAAGACCAUACCUCCUCCUGCACCGCAGAGGACUUGGUUGCUGCUAACAAUGCUUGCAUCGCUCGGGCUCUGAGUACAAGUGUCCAAUUUCAGCGCUUGGUCAAGGACCUCAACGCCAAGAGGAAGGAUCUGGCCAAACACCUAGAGGAAGCACUGCACUACUAGGAUGCUGUGCGAACUGCCCAAGAUAAGGCCUUGGAGGAGAAAGGCUGGCUGGUGAGGGCCAAUGAGGAGGUGGAGAGGCUGAAGGAGUUCUACGAAGUGGAGUGCCAGGUGGCUACUAUGACGAGGAGGAUUGAUAAUGCCAAUGAGCACCACCGGCUCACAUUGAGGCUCUGGAUGCCUCGAACCAAGAGAAGGAGGAGCUGAGGCUAUGGGCAAAGGCCUAGGUUGAGGAGAUCGAAUCUCUGAAGGCUGAGGUAAAGGUGGCGAGGGAGUCAGCGGUGCAAAACUUCAUCGAUCAUUUCAAAGAGCACCCACUGUAUGACGACUUUGCCAACUUUUGGGCCUCGUGAAAUGCCCAGGCAAUGUUGGAUUGCCUAAGGGAGGUCCACCCAACUCUGGAUUUAACUUCAUUGGAAGCGGAGUUCGCUGGGCCUACUGGAGGUUGACUCGACAAGGUCGCCGAGAAAGCAACCGAAGCCGCCCCAGAGGCCGAGCCGGAGAUCGGAGCUGAGGAUGACUCGAGAGAAGAAUAGGAACACCUUGUAAUGGCUUCAGCCCACAUUUUGUACUUUGUUUUGAUAUUAAUGAGAUUAAAAUUUGUCCAAGUAUUGUUGCUUCUUCUUACUUUACUUUUAUAUUGAACUGUUUGUAUCUUAUGAGUAAAGUAAAUAUUAAGCUCCACUUACCAAUAAUAACCAGUCGAUGAUAGCAGAACUGACCCAUAUAAAGCACUAAAGAACUAAGGCACCAAUUGGUUAACCAACAUGACAAUGGAGAGCUGUGGUGUUAUAACUUUGAAACUUCCAUCAUCUUUUUACCAAGGCAGUUCAACACUUAGUAAAAUAGGAAUGUUAUAAUACCGGACAAAAUGUAGAUCGGAUCAAGACAUACACAUCAUUGAUAGUACUUCCUCAAGUGUUUAGUGUUCCACUGAUGAGGCAGUAUCUUCCCUGCAAUGUCUUCGAUUUCAUAAGUGCCAGGUCCAGACUUCUUGCAGAUGCGAUAAGGACCUUCCCAGUUCGGUCCAAAUACUCCAGACCCAGUUUGCUUUGAUGAUUGGAAGACCCUUCUGAUGACGAGGUCCCCCACACGAAGAGUUCGAUUUCUGACCUUCGAGUUGUAAUAACGGGUCAUCUUUCUUUAAUACUUAGCCAAUUUUAUUUGAGAGGAAUCACUCCUUUCUUCAAGGAGGUGAAGUUCGUGUACUCGAGUUUCGUCAUUGCUGAUUUCAAUGAAAUGUGUCUGACAAUGAGAGGGGACACCCACAUCGACAGGACUCAUGACUUCGGAUCCGUAGGUCAUGGAGAAGUGUGUUUCACCUAUUGCGGUUCGACUGGUUGUUUGAAUGGCCCAGAGGACAUGGGGAAGUUCAUCGACCCACGUCCCUUUCGAGACAUCAAGCUUCCUUUUCAGGGUAUGCUUGAUAGUUUUGUUCACUGCCUCAACUUGCACAUUUGCUUGAGGGUGAUGAGGUGUUGAGAAGUCCUUCCUUAUGCUGAGUUUUCACACAAGUCUCGCAUCUUUUUGUUGUCGAACUGUCUUCCGUUAUUAGACACUAAAGAACGGGGAAUGUCGAGCCUGCAAAUGAUAUUUUUCCAGACUAAUUUUGUGGUGUUCGCUUCAGUGAUUUUUGCCAAAGGUUCGGCUUCAACCCACUUGAUGCAGGGGCGGACCCAGCUUUUUUGGGUUGUGGGGUCAAAAAUUAAUGUGUAAUUUUUUUAAACAAUAUAAUAUUAAUGAAAAUAAGUUAAU